CGUUCAACCUCACCCUUCCUUGCCUUACCCGCCUAUAUACCACCGUCGUCAGCCUACCCUGUGAAGGAUCAAUAGCAAGCACAAUUGGCAAAGCCCAAAACGUCAGGUCGAGGUGUAGUGAAUGAGAGGGGAAGAAAUGGGCUACAUUUGCUAGAUAUAGCAAAUACGAAUGAUGCAUUGAAACAUGCAACUGAAGGAGGAUUUAGUAGUAAGCAGGAAAUAGAGCGUUCCGCUGAAAUUGGCCCUAAAGCGCGCACACACCGCCCGUCACCCUCCCCGAGCCCCUAAACUUGAAAUUAGAUAAAAAUUACUACCCGCGAAGGGGAGGAAAGUCGUAACAUGGUAAGUGUACCGGAAGGUGUACUUGGAAAAAU
rnacentral:rRNA from 1 species